rnacentral:RNase_P_RNA from 1 species
GGAGUCGGCCGGGCGAUCGCAGUUUCGUGGCUGUAGCCAUCGUUAGCGUUGGUAGACGGUGCGAGAUUGAGGAAAGUCCGGGCUCCAUAGGACAGGGUGCCAGGUAACGCCUGGGCGGCGCGAGUCGACGGACAGUGCCACAGAAAAUAUACCGCCAGGCAGCGAGG